GACGAACGCUGGCGGCGUGCUUAACACAUGCAAGUCGAACGGAAAGGCCCUGCUUGCAGGGUACUCGAGUGGCGAACGGGUGAGUAACACGUGGGUGAUCUGCCCUGCACUUCGGGAUAAGCUUGGGAAACUGGGUCUAAUACCGGAUAGGACCGCACUUUAGUGUGUGUGGUGGAAAGUUUUUUCGGUGUAGGAUGAGCUCGCGGCCUAUCAGCUUGUUGGUGGGGUAAUGGCCUACCAAGGCGGCGACGGGUAGCCGGCCUGAGAGGGUGUACGGCCACAUUGGGACUGAGAUACGGCCCAGACUCCUACGGGAGGCAGCAGUGGGGAAUAUUGCACAAUGGGCGCAAGCCUGAUGCAGCGACGCCCGUGGGGGAUGAAGGCCUUCGGGUUGUAAACUCCUUUCGCUAGGGACGAAGCUUUUUGUGACGGUACCUAGAUAAGAAGCACCGGCUAACUACGUG
rnacentral:rRNA from 1 species